AAAAAAACAGCGUUAAGCACGUUUUCCACCCUGAGUUACACAGAGGAACAUUCCUCGUCGUGCUCCGACCACCGCGCAGCCAGUUCCAACACCGAGAUGACUCCAGUGUACGAGCUCACCAGGAAGAGGACGAGGACGACCCUCCUCACGCCCAGCCCCACACUCGCCAGCGGGGGUGCGAGCCCCGUUGUCAGCCCCGCACGCCAAUCAGGGCGGCCCGCCUGCCUUCCUGUAGGUGUGCCCGGCUCACCUGGGAGCCGCGGUGCUGAUGACAUACCUGCAGCCCCGGGGGAAGCACAGAGAUAGUCUGCUGUCGCCCAGGGCAGGGGGGCUACAGCCGGAACGGCGCCGGGGGCAGCACUGGCCCCGACCCGGCCGCCGCAGGUAAGUUACUUGUCCCAGUGUAUGGAUGUAAAUGAAGAUGGCGUGUUUCAUUGUUUUGGAUCAGGGUAAUAUAUGGCAAGAUUAUCACUCCAGUAAAGCUAUCAGUCAGUAACACCGGUGCUUCACAGUAUUAGACCUGAGAAAUGCCUUUCCUGCAUCCCACUUGAAUGUUUACGUCAGAAGCUGUUUGUAUUUGAGUGGAAGAAAAACCCAAUUCACUGGGUGUACAUAGUGCUGCCAGAGGGAUUUAAGAGCAGCCCAUCUAUCUAUGGCAAUCAACUAGCAAAGGAGCUGGAAUUGUGGAGGCAGGAAAAUAGAGAGGGAAUUACGUUGCAGUACAAUGAUGACGUAUUGCGAGCCGGCAAGUCUUGAGAAGAAUGUUUAGAAUUAACCAUUAGGUGUGGGAAUAGCAGAAAGACUAUUCAGAGCAGUGGCUGUGAAGCAAGAUAAACAGCAUGAGAAAGCAAUGCUGGGAACUAAGGAUAUCUCUAGAGGAAAAGCAAGAGGAACGGCCCAUGGCUUUUAUUGCAUAAGCACCUGUAUGCAUGGUUAAAGAGUGUUUGUGGAAUACUUUGUUGAUGUGUAAAGGCAGAUGAAAAAUCUGGUGUGCUCUAGACCACAAAGCAAAAAGAAAGUGUCUUGCUGGACUCAAAUGCAGAAGGAAGUGGACAUGCUGGGCAGAAAUCUGGAAGCAGUAGUCAUUGCUGGACAUAAACCAAGAAAGAAUGGGUCUAGCUGGACAGAAACCAAGAUGGAAGGGGUCAUGCUCAGCCCAAAGCCAGAAGAAAUUGGACUUGCUUUGCAAAAACCAUGAAGGAAGGAGGAUUGAAGGGCUGAAUGCCAGAAGGAGUGUGGCUUUCUGGGCCCAAAGCCAGAAGGUAAGGUUCUUCCUUAGCCAAAAGAAAUAAAGAAUGGUUUUGCUGCUCCAAAAUCCAGAAGGAAGGGGGCUUGUAAGACCAUACCAAGAAGAAAUGGGGAGUGCUGGGCCACAAACCAAGAAGAAGGGGUUUUGCUGGACUGAAACCCAGAAGGAAGGCAGCUUGCUGGGAAGAAACCAAGAAGGAAGGUGGCAGGGUGGGCAGACAGCCAGAAGGAACGGGGCUUCCUAGGCCAAAACGGAGAAGGAAAGGGGCUUGCUGGGCAGAAAUCCAUAAAGCAGAGUUCUUGCUGGGCAGAAACCAAGAAGGAAGCGGGUUCACUGGGAAGAAACCCAGAUCGAAGAGGUCUUGCUGGGCCCAAAGCCAGAAAAAAUUGGACUUGCUAUGCUGAAAGGGUGAAGAAAAGGAGUUUGAAUUGCCAAACGUCAGAAGGAAUGUGGCUUUGUGGGCCCAAAGCCAUAAGGAAAGGUCCCUGUUGGGACAAAAUGAAUAAAGAAUGGGUUUUCUGCUCCCACACCCAGAAGGAAGAGGGCUUGUAAGGCCAUACCCAGAAGAGAGGGGGAGUGCUGGACAACAAACCAGAGGGAAGGAGUCUUGCGGGACUGAAAACCCUGAAAAAGGGGACUUUCUGGAGCGAAAUUCAGAAGGAAAGGGGUUUGCAGGGAAAAAAGCAGGAAGAAAGGGGCAUCCUGUGUCGAAACCCAGAAGGAAGGGGUCUUACUGGACUGAAACCCAGAUGCAAAGGAAACUGGCUUGCUGGGAAAAAAGGCAGGAAGAUUGGAACAUCCUGUGCCAAAACCCAGAAGAUAGGGGUCUUGCUGGUCCAUACCCAGAAAAAAUUGGGCAAGCUAGGCCACAAAGAAUAAAGAAGGGAUUUUGCAGGACUGAAAUGCAGAGGGAAGUGGACGUGCUGGUUAGAAAUCCACACACAAUAGACAUUGCUGGACAGAAACUAAGAAGUGGAUCUUGCUGGACAGAAACCUAGAAGUAAGGGGACUUCCUGGGGCUAAACUCAGAAGGAAGGGGAAAAAAGGCAGGAAGAUAGGGUCAUCCUGUGCGGAAACCCAGAAGGAAGUGGGCUUGCUGGUCCAUACCCAGAAAGAAGUGUGAGUGCUGGACAACAAAGCAUAAAGAAGGGGUUUUGCUGGACUGAAACGCAGAAGUAAGGGGUCUUGCUGGGCAGAAAAUCUGAGGAAAGAGAGAUUUCUGGGCCAAAACACAGAAGGAAGGGGCCUUCCUGUUGAAGGUUAUUUGUGGUCAGAAAUGUAAAUGGAAGUGGUUGAUUGCUGGGCCAAACCCAAGAGGGAAGACGGCUUGCUGGACUUAAAGGCAGAAGGAAUGGGCUUUCCAGUGCCCAAACCCAGUAAGAAAGCAGGCCUGUAGCUCCAUAUCCAGAAACAAUUGGGAGUGCUUUGCCACAAAGCAAAGGAAGUGGUCUAGCUGGACUUAAACGCAGGAGAAAGUCAACAUGCUGGGCAGAAGUCCACAAGCAAAGGCACUGCUGGACAGAAACCAAGAAGGAAUAGAUCUUGCUGGACUGAAACUCAGAUGGAAGGGUACUGGCUAGGAAAAAAGGCAAGGAAAAAAUGGGCAUAAUGUGCCAAAACCCAGAAUGAAGGGGUCUUGUGGGUUCAUAUCCAGAAAAAAUCAGGUGUGCUGGGCCACAAAGCAAAAAGAAGGGGUCUUGUUGAACUGAAACGCAGAAAGAAGUGGAUAUGCUUGGCAGGAAUCUGCAAGCAAUUGACAUUGCUAGACAGAAACCAAAAGUAAUGGGUCUCGCUGCAAAGAAACCCGGAAGGAAGGGGACUUUCUAGGGCUAAACUCAGAUGGAAGAGCGUCUGCUGUGAAAAAAGGCAGGAAGAAAUGGGCAUCCUGUGUCUAAACUCCAUAUGGAAUGGUGCUUGCUGAUCUGUACCCAGAAGGAAGCAGGAGUGAGGGAGCACAAAGCAUAAAGGAGGCGUUUUGCUGGACUGAAAUGCAGAAGGAAGGGAAC
ensembl:lncRNA